rnacentral:tRNA from 1 species
GGAUGUAGCUCAGUGGUAGAGCACUUGCCUAGUAUGUAUGAGGUUCUGGGUUCAAUUCCCAGCACCA